rnacentral:rRNA from 1 species
GACAGAGGGUGCAAACGUUUUUCGGAAUUACUGGGCGUAAAGCGCGUGUAGGCUGCUCUGCAAGUCGGAUGUGAAAGCCCUGGGCUCAACCUAGGAAGGGCAUUCGAAACUGCAGAGCUGGAGUCCUGGAGAGGAAGGCGGAAUUCUCGGUGUAGAGGUGAAAUUCGUAGAUAUCGAGAGGAACACCGGUGGCGAAGGCGGCCUUCUGGACAGUGACUGACGCUGAGACGCGAAAGCGUGGGGAGCAAACAGG